GAUGAACGCUGGCGGCGUGCCUAAUACAUGCAAGUCGAGCGAACAGACGAGGAGCUUGCUCCUCUGACGUUAGCGGCGGACGGGUGAGUAACACGUGGAUAACCUACCUAUCAGACUGGGAUAACUUCGGGAAACCGGAGCUAAUACCGGAUAAUAUAUUGAACCGCAUGGUUCAAUAGUGAAAGACGGUUUUGCUGUCACUUAUAGAUGGAUCCGCGCCGCAUUAGCUAGUUGGUAAGGUAACGGCUUACCAAGGCAACGAUGCGUAGCCGACCUGAGAGGGUGGUCGGCCACCCUGGAACUGAGACACGGUCCAGACUCCUACGGGAGGCAGCAGUAGGGAAUCUUCCGCAAUGGGCGAAAGCCUGACGGAGCAACGCCGCGUGAGUGAUGAAGGUCUUCGGAUCGUAAAACUCUGUUAUUAGGGAAGAACAAAUGUGUAAGUAACUAUGCACGUCUUGACGGUACCUAAUCAGAAAGCCACGGCUAACUACGUG
rnacentral:rRNA from 1 species